rnacentral:tRNA from 1 species
GCCCGGGUGGCUCAGUCGGUUAAGCGUCAGACUUCUGCUCAGGUCAUGAUCUCGCGGUCCGUGGGUUCGAGCCCCGCGUCGGGCU